UGCGCUUCGAUCAAGCUAUCAACUAGGGGGCUGCUCACAAUUAUCUAUGUUUGUUCUUUUCAUGGCUUGGAAACAUCUUGAACAAGUAAGAACCCCAGCUUGAGAUUUACCUAGCUAGGUUUUGUUCGACUUUAGUUGAUAAAUUUAAUACUUAUAUACAUAGACAUAUACAUAUAACAAUAUACAUACACAUAUUCCCAUAUAACUUAUAAUUUAC
rnacentral:lncRNA from 1 species